rnacentral:pre_miRNA from 1 species
CCUCAGCUUGAGAAAGCUGAAUUCAAAUGUUGUGUCCAGUGUCAGACCUGUGAAAUUCAGUUCUUCAGCUGGGAUAUCUCUGUC